CCAGGACUUUUUCGGCUUCCGACCUUGUGCUACAUCUUUCUGAACCCUCUCGACCGUCCGAGCUUCCGUAAUACCAUCCAGACUUCUCUGACAAUGACCUUCUCCAUUCAUCUACCAGGCCGCUCCAAAGGCUCUUUGGGCUUCACUAUCAGCCGACCUUCUACAGUGAUCAACUAUUCUCUGAAUCCCUUCUAGACUUCUUCCGACCGUGGAUGACCCUACUUCGAACUUCUUCCAAACUUCGUCAAUAUCUGAGCUUCUCCGAUGAUGAGAUUUCUACAGUAACCAGAUUCUAUCCAAGUUUCUACGACUGUCGACCACCUUUCGAAUUUCAUUCGAGCUCCUACGAGAAUCGAAUUUCAGUCGAACUCCUA
rnacentral:lncRNA from 1 species